ACGGGUGAGUAACACGUGGGUAACCUGCCCCGUACUCUGGGAUAAGCCUGGGAAACUAGGUCUAAUACCGGAUAUGACUCCUUUGGGCAUCUGAAGGGGUGGAAAGUUCCGGCGGUACGGGAUGGGCCCGCGGCCUAUCAGCUUGUUGGUGGGGUGAUGGCCUACCAAGGCGACGACGGGUAGCCGGCCUGAGAGGGUGACCGGCCACACUGGGACUGAGACACGGCCCAGACUCCUACGGGAGGCAGCAGUGGGGAAUAUUGCACAAUGGGCGAAAGCCUGAUGCAGCGACGCCGCGUGAGGGAUGACGGCCUUCGGGUUGUAAACCUCUUUCAGCAGGGACGAAGCGUGAGUGACGGUACCUGCAGAAGAAGCACCGGCUAACUACGUGCCAGCAGCCGCGGUGAUACGUAGGGUGCGAGCGUUGUCCGGAAUUAUUGGGCGUAAAGAGCUCGUAGGCGGUUUGUUGCGUCGGCCGUGAAAACUUCACGCUUAACGUGGAGCCUGCGGUCGAUACGGGCAGACUUGAGUUCGGCAGGGGAGACUGGAAUUCCUGGUGUAGCGGUGAAAUGCGCAGA
rnacentral:rRNA from 1 species